rnacentral:rRNA from 1 species
UAAGGUUAAGUUAAUAAGGGCGCACGGUGGAUGCCUUGGCACUAGAAGCCGAAGAAGGACGUGACUAACGACGAAAUGCUUUGGGGAGCUGUAAGUAAGCGCUGAUCCAGAGAUGUCCGAAUGGGGGAACCCACUAGUUAAUGACUAGUAUCCAUAUCUGUUAAGGAUAUGAGAAGGAAGACGCAGUGAACUGAAACAUCUAAGUAGCUGCAGGAAGAGAAAGCAAAAGCGAUUGCCUUAGUAGCGGCGAGCGAAACGGCAGGAGGGCAAACCGAAGUGUUUACACUUCGGGGUUGUAGGACUGCGAUAUAGGAUUAAUCAUUAUAGAAGAAUUACCUGGGAAGGUAAGCCAAAGAGAGUAACAGCCUCGUAUUUAAAAUGAUAGAUUAACCUUAGCAGUAUCCUGAGUACGGCGAGACACGCGAAAUCUCGUCGGAAUCUGGGAGGACCAUCUCCCAACCCUAAAUACUCUCUAGUGACCGAUAGUGAACCAGUACCGUGAGGGAAAGGUGAAAAGCACCCCGGGAGGGGAGUGAAAUAGAACCUGAAACCGUGUGCCUACAACAAGUUCGAGCCCGUUAAUGGGUGAGAGCGUGCCUUUUGUAGAAUGAACCGGCGAGUUACGAUAUGAUGCGAGGUUAAGUUGAAGAGACGGAGCCGUAGGGAAACCGAGUCUUAAUAGGGCGCCAUAGUAUCAUGUUGUAGACCCGAAACCAUGUGACCUACCCAUGAGCAGGUUGAAGGUGAGGUAAAACUCACUGGAGGACCGAACCAGGGCACGUUGAAAAGUGCUUGGAUGACUUGUGGGUAGCGGAGAAAUUCCAAACGAACUUGGAGAUAGCUGGUUCUCUCCGAAAUAGCUUUAGGGCUAGCGUCGAUGUUAAGUCUCUUGGAGGUAGAGCACUGUUUGGGUGAGGGGUCCAUCCCGGAUUACCAAUCUCAGAUAAACUCCGAAUGCCAACGAGAUAUAAUCGGCAGUCAGACUGCGAG